rnacentral:rRNA from 1 species
AUUGAACGCUGGCGGCAGGCCUAACACAUGCAAGUCGAGCGGGGUUUUCGGACCUAGCGGCGGACGGGUGAGUAAUGCGUAGGAAGCUACCCGAUAGAGGGGGAUACCAGUUGGAAACGACUGUUAAUACCCGCAUAAUGUCUACGGACCAAAGUGUGGGACCUUCGGGCCACAUGCUAUCGGAUGCGCCUACGUGGGAUUAGCUAGUUGGUGAGGUAAUGGCUCACCAAGGCGACGAUCUCUAGCUGGUUUGAGAGGAUGAUCAGCCACACUGGAACUGAGACACGGUCCAGACUCCUACGGGAGGCAGCAGUGGGGAAUAUUGGACAAUGGGCGGCAAGCCUGAUCCAGCCAUGCCGCGUGUGUGAAGAAGGCCUCGG